CUAUGGAGAUUGGCUUCGACCAAACGAAUCAGCAGAACCUGCCUACCAAAGACAGACCUUCCAGCACUAGACAGAAAACAGAAACCAAGACUCCUCUUCACAGGGAGUGAAAGCUACUAAAAAUGUUUUGCCAACAAGUUUUUGGAGCACAUCUUUUUGCCAAUGCACUGUCAAGCUACUAUCUUUUUGCCAAUGCACUGUCAAGCUACUAUCUUUUUGCCAGAAGACUGCCUUUUUGAAAAGCUACAUUACAACCAUAUGUGACGCCCCAUGCUUUAAAAAGGUAUUUUGUCAACCAUGGAGUCGCACAACUACAACAUGCAUGAUUGCUACUAAGAAAAUACUUUUUCUGUAAAUAUGUGCUAUAAAUGAUGUAUAUAUGACAGUGCAAUCAUCAAUGUAAUAGACAAAUGUAUAUAUGCAUAAACAGUGCAAACUUAUUUUAGUCGUCUUAUACUAUCUUACCUCAUUACUUACGAUAA